rnacentral:lncRNA from 1 species
UAUAUAUAUAUAUAUAUAUAUAUAUAUAUAUAUAUAUAUAUAUAUAUACUGUAAUUAUCGCCACUCUUCUGAGCUGAGCUGUUGGAAUCCGUUAAUAAAUACUUGUCCAAUAAUAAGAUGGGGGCUUCUAUUCGGAAUGGCGUAAGCGUCAGUGAAUAUGGUGGGCUUAUGCACAGGGGAGCUUAUAUUCGGAGCCUCGGAAGUUUACGGUAUUCGCGUGGUUUUUUGUAAGGUUUUUAAAGAUAAGAUUACUUGGCACUGUAUAAACGUGUUGUCAGCAAAACCCCGACUGUACUGCUCUACAAGAACAAUGGAUAGAUCAAGGACAAGGAUAUAUCACCGCCCAACGAAAUCUCGACCCACGAUGAAGCGAGCUCUGGACUACAGUAUUCAGUAAUUUUAUGUAAAUAACGAAACAUAAUGCUGACCAUAUUAUCAAAAUGGAAAAUUUAGUGUGUUUUAGUGACAUUAAAAUAUUAUGUAAAAAAAACAAAAAGAAAUGAUUCAUGUCAGGAAAGUCGAGAGACUUUAAGAUAAGUUUCAGAACAUUCUUGUUAAUAGAGGUUCAGAUUUCCACUACUGCUAUUACUAUUAAUAAUUCAUGAGGAAAAUACAAAAGAAAUCACUGCCGUGUUGGUGGUUUUAAAUAGUAUAUAUAUAUAUAUAUAUAUAUAUAUAUAUAUAUAUAUAUAUAUAUAUAUAUAUAUAUAUAUAUAUAUAUAUAUAUAUAUAUAUAAUUAAGGCAAUACUUUUUUUAUUUAUUGAAUAUUGGUUUACGGAUUUGACUUUAAAAAACCCAGCCCCAGGUCGGUAGGUCGGGAAAAAAUUUUAAAAAAAUACACUGAGUAUUAAUGAGAACCAAGUUUAAUAAUCAAAAUUUAAUAAAGUUUAAUUUUCACUUGUCUCAGCUCUUUACAAUCGAUAUUUUUAUCUUCUAUACAUUUAACUUCUACUUGGAAAAGCAUGGCGAAUCCGAUCCAUAUUGAUUGUCAGUUUGUCAUAAUGAUAACAUGAGCCAGUAGUAUUUAGAGUCAAGAGUUUACUUGGAGUGUACUUCAUAUCAGAACCCAAAAUUAACUAAAAUCGCAAAAUUGUUGAAAUCCAAAUUUAUUUUUUACUUUUUACUUUCUGAAUACUUACGGUUGGCGGAUCCGUAAACCAAUGAAUAAAAAAAGCUGGUGAGAGGUAGGGGAAGUCAAAUCUGAACCUCUCCUAGUCCUAAUGUAUAACUUGGACAUGAUAUAUUAAUACAUAUUAAGCAUAGCAUAGACAUGACUAGUUUUGGAGGUUUUUUAAGAUGUUCGUAAUAUUAAAGAAGUGUGUGUAUUUAUUACUACUAUGUAUUAUUAGUAUUGAGUAAGAUUUAAGUAAUGAUAAUGUAUCUUAUAUUUUUAUAUUAGUAUCAAGCUUGAAUUUAGAACUGAAUAUAUUGAUGUGAUGGUAAUCAUAUGAAUUUUGGUAAUAUCGUAUGGCAAUAUCAUUCUGUGAAGAACUGUAAUAUAUCACUAUACAGACAGUGGUGCCAAGUAACGAAGUAAAUGUACUUCGUUACUGUACUUGAGUACUAUUUUUGAGAAGUCAGCAUGUAACAAAGUAAACUUUUUCUGCAUUACUUUUACUUGGAAC